ACCUCCAACCCAGUCUCACAUUCCCAUCACACACAAUUACUCGAGGUAAUUCCAAGCCCAUGAUGGGCUCCACUGCCGUUCGCACUGCUAGCAGCUUGGUCAAGAAGACAUUUUCAGUUCAGAGUGCCAAGAUUACGACUAAAGCCCUUUAGCCAAAUGCCAGCAGCAUCCCGAAUAACAACCCCAUAGCUGGAACUGAGGCAGUUACUAAUAGCCCAAUCCACAUUGACCUUUAACCAGCCAGCGUCUGGUUUAAUCCAACCCGAGUUAGCUAGCGGUACUCACCAUGCUGCAAUCAAAAGUCACACAUUGGUCGUAAGCAAAUCCUGGAAAAGAUCCAAUUUCCACCCGGUAGCCAUAUCAUUGAAGUGAGAAAGUGGAAGCUCAAUCUCAGCAUGAGGAAUGGAGAGAGUUGCCAGGUCUUGUAAAAUAUGUUCAGACACAUUCUAAAGUCGCAUAAUCAAAGGGUUCUUACACAGCAAAGAAUGGCUGCACUGCCUGUAUUUGAAAUGUUGACCCAUUUGGAGCUUAGUUUUUUGACUGGUGGAGUUUUGUUAGGCCUAUAUCAAAGGUCGCCAGUUCUCAAUACUCUACGUCUCAAGGGAAUACCAAAAUUCGACCAAGAGCUUAUGGAUUCUGCUGUGCCUGCCUGUUUGGCAUCUACCCUCCAAUUUGUGCAGUUUGAAAAAGUUUAUGCACUCAAGCAUGAGCUGUGUUUAGUUAAAUUUGUGAUGGAAAAUGGCCUGGUGUUGAAGAGGAUGAGUUUCGCCAUUGUGAGAACUAUGAAGGGCAAGCUGAAGAUCAUUGACGAAUUUAGAGAGAAAAUGCACUCAUUUAAGAGAAAUUCGUCUUUUCACUAUGUGGAUUUUUCGUAUGAUUACAACAAUUAGGGGUACAUAUCUACAAUGUUUUCUGAUACAAUGGUAGAAAUUUUCUAGUGUAAAGCAGCUCAGCCCUUUCAAUUUUCCCCCAUCAUUCUUUAGUACUAUUUGGAUAAAAUAGUCCUUCAUGACAGCAAAAGUGAUUUGAGCACCCUCUUUCUGCAGAUACUCCCAAGUUCCCUUUCCUCUAUUCUGUGUUAAACUUUUUUUUUCUGGGUCCUAGUCUAGUGAAUCCUAAAUCCUAAAUCUUGGGUCUUAGAUAGAAAGAAAGGUCUAGAAAAGAGGGAAACAAAUUCAACAUGAAGAAAACUAACUUAUCUCAUAUGGUAAGGGGAGAGAGAUAGAGGAGAGGUGGGGAUUCUUUCCUUAAUUUUCUCUUCCCCUCCCCUUUCAUACGUCAAAGCAAAUCUACUACACUUUAAAAGAGACUCAUGAAUUCACUAUUCCUAAAAGAACUUCCAAUCCUGGCCGUUUAUUUGACUCUCUCUCCAUUUUCACUCUUUAAUCCUGCCCCUUCAUCUGUGAAACUUUUUUCUCCUCUAUUCUACUCGAACUUCUCUGUUUGGCUUAUGUCACUGAUGGCGUUGAAGCAGUAUGGGAUGAAGGAGAGGAGUGUUUCCCUGGUAUAAGUUCGUCAGUUAUAGUCACCCUGCAGGCCCUGUCUCUGUCGUGGAUGAAUGCGAAGUGGGUACCCAUGGUCUUCGUUCGUGAGCGAUCGUCAUUCUUUCAGGUACGUCCUCUGUUCCAGUGGUUAGGUUGCAUAAGGAAUCAAAGCAGGAAUACGAAAUGUUAUGUUUUACUGUUGAGCACAAUUUUGUGUCAAAUUUCGUCACCAUGACCCAUGUUUCUUCAAUCCUUUCUGUGUUAGGUGAAAAUCAGAAGGAAGAUAAUAGAUUAUUCAGGAAAUUGUUCAAUUUGUUCACAAUUUGUUGUCAACAGAUCAUGUGUAUCAGAACUCAUAUAUGUGCUUUACUUUGUCAGUUGAUUGUUUCAAUGUCAGUUGAGUACAACAGGUUUGGUAUGCAUAGUUGUCAAGCAAGUUUGAUUCUGACAUUCAAUUGAAUUUAAGUGAAUUUAAUCAAAUUCUCAAAGGUUUCUCGGAAGUACAGGAAGCAGAAGCACAGAUCAUGGGAGAAGGUUCAAUUUCGUCAGAUGAACAGGUUCGUACUCUUCCCUUCAAUCCCCCAUGCCUCCACUAAAAUUCAUGAUUUAAUCUGGACAAAUAGUUAACCUAUCCUAUGCGAAUGACGUUCUACCGGUAGAUUUAUGGGUUUUAUUUUUUUAUAUUAAGGUUUUCAUCCCAAUCCCUCUAUAAAUACUGCUAUUGUUUUUGUGUUUGUUGCUGUCUGCUAUGGCUGGAUCAUUGAAUCCCCUCCGCUCCAUAUGAACCCUCAAAACCAUAUGCUCUGCAUCUUGUGCUUAUUGAUGGAGAGGGCGUGGAAAUUGAAGGCUGAAUUGGAUAAAGAUAGGAGUGUGACUAUGGAGCUUCAGUCUUGCUGUUGGUGAAGCUAAGCCAUUGGCAACAGUGGAAAGGGUGUUGGGAGUGUGCAGGUUUUGCUUGGACAGAAGUUUCGGCUUUUUGCAAAUCUUGGACCAAAUGGGAAAUUCUCUGGUACUCACUUGGUGGGAGUAGCAGAGAAAUUGGUUUGAAGGGUCAGGUUUGUGGCCAUUGUGUGAAGUUCUACAAGGAGACAUUUAAGACCCUUGGAAAAACUGUUGCAAUACAUAGGAUGCAGAUUUGGAAGAUGGUGCAACCAAAUUGUUACAGGGUUUUGUAUUCACCCGUUAAUCUAGCAUGAAGAAGUUGUAAAUUUGAUCCUUGUACUUCUACUAUGUUUAGUUGGAUCUUGUCUUAUGUUGUUCUACUUUGUUUUUGGUUACAUGGUUCCCAAUAUGUACUUAACUAGAAUACUAUCCUAAGUCUGUGAUGCAUCUGGAUUUUAAUUUGCCGUGACUUUGGAUGUUUUUUUUAUGCGUUGAAAAGUUAUAUUAUUGUUUCAUGUUUCCUUGAA